rnacentral:misc_RNA from 1 species
CUGCAACAUCAUGCGGGUAUUUUCAAAUUUAUGGGUGAAUCAAGGUUCAAGUACACGAAUGAUCAGCAAUUACACCAAGUUAAUCUUCCCACAGUUGAGCUUCUAUUGGAUUUGCUAAGCUAUUCAUCCCAUGUUCUGUUCAUCUGUUCAAUCUUCAAUAUUCAUGGAGAUAUAGACUCAUCUCUAGAUGCUGUAAUAUUUUCAUUUCUAAGCAAUUGUUAUUGUGCACUGGAAUUUCUGGCUUCAAAAGCUGGUACAGGAGGAGCAGAAUCCUUCUCACUAAUGGAAUAAAUAACCAGUCCAAUAGCUACAGUGGCAAAAGCAAGAUAGUAUAACCAGUCAACCUGCUGGUGGUAGAGGAAGAUGCGAACAAUAACUGCCCACAUAUCAGAAGAAAGCAAAGAGAGAUUGAACAUGGUAGCUGCACUCAACUGGAUGCAAAAUACUACCAUGAGACAAUAACCAGGUAUAUAUUGCUAACAAACUCACUGCUAGGAAACCCCCUAACUGGUAAUUGAAAGGAUUGUAACAGACAAUUGAUCAGAGAAAGGAAAUGGACCUCCAGGACAGAAGGAGCAAGGGAGUAAAACAUAAAGGUUGAUAGAGUGAAGCAAGAAAAAGCUAAAAUCUUAAAAAAAAAAAUUAAAAAAACAGUGUCAAUUCCAUAAAUUAAUUAGCUAGAUAUGCCAUUGCCAAGAACUAGAAAUGUAAUCUUCUCUUUGUAAGCCAUGGUACAUCACCAUCAGCACAUGCACUUAACAGGUGAAAAGUGCUUGCAGUAUGUGCAGAUAAAGUGAUUAUGCAUGGUAGAGCAUAAUCUUUUCCUCUUAAAUCACAUCAGACGUUGUCCAUAGUUUUUCAGCUUCUGUUCAAGCCAGUAUGAAAAAUUUGCGCAAUAAAAAGAAUUACUUACAGUAUAUGCAGACCAGUGGACUGACUGCAGACUUUUUACCUCCACUAUGGAUAUCUCUACUAAGCUGACUAGUUAUCCAUAAACUCCGAUCAUGGAUAGCACUUCAAUGCGAUCUUUCUUCUUUACACAAAAUUCCUGCCUAUUGUUGGAAGGUAUAAGAAGGGAAGGAACUCACCAGUAUUGCCCAAGGCAUAGAAGAAUGUUGCAGCAAUGACGAGUAUCACCCAAAACAGGUCUUGAUCCACCUCUGCCGCCUACCCCAGCAUCAGAGAAAAAGACCAAAACAAGACCUAGUAAACAGAGACCUGCACCAGAUAAUUGGGAUAGGGAAUUCUGUGUGUUGAAGGAGAGCCAAGGGAGAAUUAUGACCCAUGCUAUAGUCCAGCAGUCCAAUAAUGUUACAUUAGUAAUAGAUGAAUUGGAAUGCCUUAUUAACUGCAACAAUUAAAGCUCCAGAAGGCAGAAGUCAAUGAUUAGAGGGUUUUCUGGGCAUCAAUUACUCUUCUGUUAACUCCAAAACAUUUAAAUCAAUGUAAAAGAAAGAGACAGCACUUACAGAAAUAAUUUCCUUGAACAUCUAUGAAACCCAGCAGUAGAUACCAAUACCAAGGA